UCGUGUACUUGGAUAAGAAAUUACUGUAUUUUGGACAACCUGAAUUUUUAUCAUUUUAAGAGAGAGAACUGGAGGAAGCUUGUGGUUGCGGUUGCUGUUGAAAGUAGAAACCUCCGAGACCAACAGCUCCUAGAGGAGUUCUUCUUCCUGGGUUACUUUGAGGAUGCUCUGAAGAAGAAUAACCGACCGGAGGACCAGAAACUCCUGGAUGAGACAUUCCUGGUCCAGGAAAAUUCAUCGCCUCCAGAGACGCGGCUGAAUGGGCCGGUAACUGAUGCUGAAUGUGAAGGGUGCAGAACUCUCGAGGGAUGCUGCCCUGGACCAACGACUGGCGGGCUCUGGCGCUGGGGAAAACAAGCUCGAAAUUGGGGAUUUAAUUAUCGAAUUUUUCACCAUAAAAAAAUGUAUGUUUCGGCCUUAUAUAUCACCUUUUGUAUAAUCUCAUUUUCAGAAGAAAGUUUUAUUUAGUAUUUAAGGGAAAUUAAAAACAAAAGAACUAAA